rnacentral:rRNA from 1 species
UAGGGAAUAUUGGACAAUGGGCGAAAGCCUGAUCCAGCCAUGCCGCGUGGAUGAAGAAGGCCCUAGGGUUGUAAAAUCCUUUCGCCAGGGAAGAUAAUGACGGUACCUGGUAAAGAAGCCCCGGCUAAUUUCGUGCCAGCAGCCGCGGUAAUACGAAAGGGGCUAGCGUUGUUCGGAAUUACUGGGCGUAAAGCGCGCGUAGGCGGCUUGCCAAGUUGGGGGUGAAAUCCCGGGGCUCAACCCCGGAACUGCCUCCAAAACUGGCAAGCUAGAGGAUGCGAGAGGAUAGUGGAAUUCCGAGUGUAGAGGUGAAAUUCGUAGAUAUUCGGAAGAACACCAGUGGCGAAGGCGACUGUCUGGCGCAUUUCUGACGCUGAGGCGCGAAAGCGUGGGGAGCAAACAGGAUUAGAUACCCCCGUAGUCC